AGCAUCUUGCCUGGAUGAGCCAGGGGACACAGAAGAGAAGCCCACUAUCUCAUUUAAUCUUUACAACUCUCUUGCAAGGUUCCCUGGUUGUGAAAAUACAUGAGAUAAAUCAUGAAGGCCACUAUCAUCCUCCUUCUGCUUGCACAAGUUUCCUGGGCUGGACCGUUUCAACAGAGAGGCUUAUUUGACUUUAUGCUAGAAGAUGAGGCUUCUGGGAUAGGCCCAGAAGUUCCUGAUGACCGCGACUUCGAGCCCUCCCUAGGCCCAGUGUGCCCCUUCCGCUGUCAAUGCCAUCUUCGAGUGGUCCAGUGUUCUGAUUUGGUAGAGACGGGGUUUCACCGUGUUAGCCAGGAUGGUCUCGAUCUCCUGAUCUCGUGAUCCACCCGCCUCGGCUUCCCAAAGUGCUGGGAUUACAGGCGUGAGUCACCGCGCCCGGCCUCAAUAUGUCUUCUAAUCUUAAAGAUAAAGAAGAGGAACCAGAAUUGAAAUUCACAUAACAGUCUUAUAAAAAAAUGUUAUUAUAGGAGCAUGUUUAAAUAUGAAAAUUCUGCAGAAUAAAAUGACCCCAUUGGGUACCCACCACAGA
rnacentral:lncRNA from 10 species